rnacentral:rRNA from 1 species
UGGGGAAUUUUGGACAAUGGGCGCAAGCCUGAUCCAGCAAUGCCGCGUGCAGGAUGAAGGCCUUCGGGUUGUAAACUGCUUUUGUACGGAGCGAAAAGGUCUGCCCUAAUACGGUGGGCUCAUUACGGUACCGUAAGAAUAAGCACCGGCUAACUACGUGCCAGCAGCCGCGGUAAUACGUAGGGUGCGAGCGUUACUCGGAAUUACUGGGCGUAAAGCGUGCGCAGGCGGUUAUAUAAGACAGAUGUGAAAUCCCCGGGCUCAACCUGGGAAUUGCCUUUGUGACUGCAAGGCUUGAGUGAGGCAGAGGGGGAUGGAAUUCCGCGGGUAGCAGUGAAAUGCGUAGAUAUGCGGAGGAACACCGAUGGCGAAGGCAAUCCCCUGGACCUGUACUGACGCUCAUGCACGAAAGCGUGGGGAGCAAACA